rnacentral:rRNA from 1 species
GACGAACGCUGGCGGCGUGCCUAAUACAUGCAAGUCGAACGCAGUGGGGACGGGUGAGUAACACGUGGGUAACCUCCCAUCAGAGGGGAUAACACUUGGAAACAGGCGCUAACCCGACACUGCUGGAUGGACCAGCGGUGAAUUAGUCAUUGGGGGAGGUAACGGCCCACCAAGGCCACGAUGCAUAGCGGGCCUGGGAGGGUGAUCGGCCACGCGGGGACUGAGACACGGCCCAGACUCCUACGGGAGGCAGCAGUAGGGAAUCUUCGGCAAUGGGCGAAAGUCUGACCGAGCAACGCCGCGUGAUUGAAGAAGGUUUUCGGAUCGUAAAACUCUGUUGUUAGAGAAGCGGUAUCUAACCAGAAAGCCACGGCUAACUACGUGCCAGCAGCCGCGGUAAUAC